rnacentral:rRNA from 1 species
UGGCUAACUCCUACGGGAGGCAGCAGUGGGGAAUAUUGCACAAUGGGGGCAACCCUGAUCCAGCAAUGCCGCGUGAGUGAAGAAGGCCUUCGGGUUGUAAAGCUCUUUUGUCAGGGAAGAAACGGUAGUAGCUAAUAUCUAUUGCUAAUGACGGUACCUGAAGAAUAAGCACCGGCUAACUACGUGCCAGCAGCCGCGGUAAUACGGAGGGUGCAAGCGUUAAUCGGAAUUACUGGGCGUAAAGCGUGCGCAGGCGGUUGUGUAAGUCAGAUGUGAAAUCCCCGGGCUCAACCUGGGAAUUGCAUUUGAGACUGCGCGGCUAGAGUGUGGGAGAGGGGGGUAGAAUUCCACGUGGAGCAGUGAAAUGCGUAGAUAUGUGGAGGAAUACCGAUGGCGAAGGCAGCCCCCUGGGAUAACACUGACGCUCAUGCACGAAAGCGUGGGGAGCAAACAGGAUUAGAAACCCGAGUAGUCCAGCUGG